UGGGGAAUAUUGCACAAUGGACGGAAGUCUGAUGCAGCAACGCCGCGUGCGGGAUGACGGCCUUCGGGUUGUAAACCGCUUUUUCUCAUGACGAAGUUUUUUGACGGUAGUGGGGGAAGAAGCACCGGCUAACUACGUGCAAGCAGCCGCGGUGAUACGUAGGGUGCGAGCGUUGUCCGGAAUUAUUGGGCGUAAAGAGCUUGUAGGCGGUUUGUCGCGUCGAUAGUGCAAACUCAGUGCUUAACGCUGAGCCUGCUGUUGAUACGGGCAGACUAGAGGAAGGUAGGGGAGAAUGGAAUUCCCGGUGGAGCGGUGGAAUGCGCAGAUAUCGGGAGGAACACCGGUGGCGAAGGCGGUUCUCUGGGCCUUUCCUGACGCUGAGAAGCGAAAGCGUGGGGAGCGAACAGG
rnacentral:rRNA from 1 species